rnacentral:rRNA from 1 species
GGACUACCAGGGUAUCUAAUCCUGUUUGAUCCCCACGCUUUCGCGCCUCAGCGUCAGUUGUCGUCCAGAUAGCCGCCUUCGCCACCGGUGUUCCUCCUAAUAUCUACGUAUUUCACCACUACAUUAGGAAUUCCGCUAUCCCCUCCGACACUCCAGCUUUACAGUUUCAAAGGCAGUUCCAAGGUUAAGCCUUGGCAUUUCACCCCUGACUUGAAAAGCCGCCUACGCGCGCUUUACGCCCAGUGAUUCCGAACAACGCUAGCACCCUUCGUAUUACCGCGGCUGCUGGCAC